UUAAGCGACUAAGCGUACACGGUGGAUGCCCUGGCAGUCAGAGGCGAUGAAGGACGUGCUAAUCUGCGAUAAGCGUCGGUAAGGUGAUAUGAACCGUUAUAACCGGCGAUUUCCGAAUGGGGAAACCCAGUGUGAUUCGUCACACUAUCAUUAACUGAAUCCAUAGGUUAAUGAGGCGAACCGGGGGAACUGAAACAUCUAAGUACCCCGAGGAAAAGAAAUCAACCGAGAUUCCCCCAGUAGCGGCGAGCGAACGGGGAGGAGCCCAGAGCCUGAAUCAGUGUGUGUGUUAGUGGAAGCGUCUGGAAAGGCGCGCGAUACAGGGUGACAGCCCCGUACACAAAAAUGCACAUACUGUGAGCUCGAUGAGUAGGGCGGGACACGUGGUAUCCUGUCUGAAUAUGGGGGGACCAUCCUCCAAGGCUAAAUACUCCUGACUGACCGAUAGUGAACCAGUACCGUGAGGGAAAGGCGAAAAGAACCCCGGCGAGGGGAGUGAAAAAGAACCUGAAACCGUGUACGUACAAGCAGUGGGAGCACGCUUCGGCGUGUGACUGCGUACCUUUUGUAUAAUGGGUCAGCGACUUAUAUUCUGUAGCAAGGUUAACCGAAUAGGGGAGCCGAAGGGAAACCGAGUCUUAACUGGGCGUUAAGUUGCAGGGUAUAGACCCGAAACCCGGUGAUCUAGCCAUGGGCAGGUUGAAGGUUGGGUAACACUAACUGGAGGACCGAACCGACUAAUGUUGAAAAAUUAGCGGAUGACUUGUGGCUGGGGGUGAAAGGCCAAUCAAACCGGGAGAUAGCUGGUUCUCCCCGAAAGCUAUUUAGGUAGCGCCUCGUGAAUUCAUCUCCGGGGGUAGAGCACUGUUUCGGCAAGGGGGUCAUCCCGACUUACCAACCCGAUGCAAACUGCGAAUACCGGAGAAUGUUAUCACGGGAGACACACGGCGGGUGCUAACGUCCGUCGUGAAGAGGGAAACAACCCAGACCGCCAGCUAAGGUCCCAAAGUCAUGGUUAAGUGGGAAACGAUGUGGGAAGGCCCAGACAGCCAGGAUGUUGGCUUAGAAGCAGCCAUCAUUUAAAGAAAGCGUAAUAGCUCACUGGUCGAGUCGGCCUGCGCGGAAGAUGUAACGGGGCUAAACCAUGCACCGAAGCUGCGGCAGCGACACUAUGUGUUGUUGGGUAGGGGAGCGUUCUGUAAGCCUGUGAAGGUGUCCUGUGAGGCAUGCUGGAGGUAUCAGAAGUGCGAAUGCUGACAUAAGUAACGAUAAAGCGGGUGAAAAGCCCGCUCGCCGGAAGACCAAGGGUUCCUGUCCAACGUUAAUCGGGGCAGGGUGAGUCGACCCCUAAGGCGAGGCCGAAAGGCGUAGUCGAUGGGAAACAGGUUAAUAUUCCUGUACUUGGUGUUACUGCGAAGGGGGGACGGAGAAGGCUAUGUUGGCCGGGCGACGGUUGUCCCGGUUUAAGCGUGUAGGCUGAUUUUCCAGGCAAAUCCGGAAAAUCAAGGCUGAGGCGUGAUGACGAGGCACUACGGUGCUGAAGCAACAAAUGCCCUGCUUCCAGGAAAAGCCUCUAAGCAUCAGGUAACAUCAAAUCGUACCCCAAACCGACACAGGUGGUCAGGUAGAGAAUACCAAGGCGCUUGAGAGAACUCGGGUGAAGGAACUAGGCAAAAUGGUGCCGUAACUUCGGGAGAAGGCACGCUGAUAUGUAGGUGAAGCGACUUGCUCGUGGAGCUGAAAUCAGUCGAAGAUACCAGCUGGCUGCAACUGUUUAUUAAAAACACAGCACUGUGCAAACACGAAAGUGGACGUAUACGGUGUGACGCCUGCCCGGUGCCGGAAGGUUAAUUGAUGGGGUUAGCGGUAACGCGAAGCUCUUGAUCGAAGCCCCGGUAAACGGCGGCCGUAACUAUAACGGUCCUAAGGUAGCGAAAUUCCUUGUCGGGUAAGUUCCGACCUGCACGAAUGGCGUAAUGAUGGCCAGGCUGUCUCCACCCGAGACUCAGUGAAAUUGAACUCGCUGUGAAGAUGCAGUGUACCCGCGGCAAGACGGAAAGACCCCGUGAACCUUUACUAUAGCUUGACACUGAACAUUGAGCCUUGAUGUGUAGGAUAGGUGGGAGGCUUUGAAGUGUGGACGCCAGUCUGCAUGGAGCCGACCUUGAAAUACCACCCUUUAAUGUUUGAUGUUCUAACGUUGGCCCCUGAUCGGGGUUGCGGACAGUGUCUGGUGGGUAGUUUGACUGGGGCGGUCUCCUCCUAAAGAGUAACGGAGGAGCACGAAGGUUGGCUAAUCCUGGUCGGACAUCAGGAGGUUAGUGCAAUGGCAUAAGCCAGCUUGACUGCGAGCGUGACGGCGCGAGCAGGUGCGAAAGCAGGUCAUAGUGAUCCGGUGGUUCUGAAUGGAAGGGCCAUCGCUCAACGGAUAAAAGGUACUCCGGGGAUAACAGGCUGAUACCGCCCAAGAGUUCAUAUCGACGGCGGUGUUUGGCACCUCGAUGUCGGCUCAUCACAUCCUGGGGCUGAAGUAGGUCCCAAGGGUAUGGCUGUUCGCCAUUUAAAGUGGUACGCGAGCUGGGUUUAGAACGUCGUGAGACAGUUCGGUCCCUAUCUGCCGUGGGCGCUGGAGAACUGAGGGGGGCUGCUCCUAGUACGAGAGGACCGGAGUGGACGCAUCACUGGUGUUCGGGUUGUCAUGCCAAUGGCACUGCCCGGUAGCUAAAUGCGGAAGAGAUAAGUGCUGAAAGCAUCUAAGCACGAAACUUGCCCCGAGAUGAGUUCUCCCUGACUCCUUGAGAGUCCUGAAGGAACGUUGAAGACGACGACGUUGAUAGGCCGGGUGUGUAAGCGCAGCGAUGCGUUGAGCUAACCGGUACUAAUGAACCGUGAGGCUUAACCUU
rnacentral:rRNA from 2 species